GAAUGUUGAAAUUAAUUUCGCAUUAAUCCAUGUUACAUAAGGUCGGAAAGGACAAAUUGGUGCAUGGAUUUAUAUAAGACAGAACCGAAUGGGUCCAAGCGGGUCAGAUCCUUGAGGGACAUGGCGGGAAAUAACUGCAUUGUUCAUAGAAACUAUCCUAUGGUGAUUUGUAACGAGGCCUAACACAUACAGUCUUUUUAAAUACUUCCUAAAUCAUGUUUGAGGGUAUGAAAUGCCAUACUGAAAUCAUAUAUUGCUACAAGAGAGUUCGAAUUCUUCAUCAAUUGCUCUACGAAUUGAAGCGUAAAUAUCAACAACUUGUGGCCAGUCAUCUUGGUGUUAAAACUUGUGAUCCAGUAUAGUAGAAGCCCGACAUGGGGCAUUAAAAUUAUAGCGUUAACUGAAUCGGGGUACAGUUACAAACGAACUCCCUAUUUAACCAUUUGGCAGCAAAGUAUUUCUGAGAAAUAACGACGCUGUUUUACUCCGAAAAAGUGGACUGUUUUGAAAAACGACUGAAAA